CCUCGUACGAUAGCACACCGAAAAAAUCUCGUGAGCCCAAACCAACGCAAAAACUGGGAAAGAACCCACGUCCUCCACCUUCUCCCACGACCAAUCUCCAUCUACAGAUCUCCCUCUCCCAAACCGACACCCCCCCAAUGGCGGCCCCUCUCUCCCGCAGCAAGCACCGCACCGGCCGCGGACACCUGUGGAACACCUACCAUCUCCUCCUCCUCUCAUUGCCCUACCUCGCAGCCCGGUGUCGCCUGUCCGCACCCCCAGCAGCUGCAAGAUUGGAUCGCCAUCCCGCCGCACGAGCCAUACGCGUUGCUGCGGCCAGCCACCACCCGAGUCCGCUGCAUAUUCGCAGGCACAGUCGUCUCCCUUUGGUUGACUCCUUCAGUCGUCCGUCUACCCUGACACAGCCACCCGCUGGGCCGAGCGAGAUUGUCAUGACGCUUUGGAUCGGAGGCAUGCAGUAUUGGAUGGAGGAUAUAUAACUACAUCUACAGUUGAUCCGUGAGCAAGGGCGAGGUAUGUGUAUCUCGUUCUCUUCUCUGCACCUAAUAUUUAAAUGUCUGAUUGAGUGUUAGCUUAAUAGCCUCCGGCCCGUGACAACCAACAUCAAUGAAAAAAAGAUGGCAUUAGCCCAUUGCCUGAUGAAGAAGAUGAGAGUAGGGAAGAAGAAGAUGAUGAUGAUGAGGUGGUGGAGAAGAGUGGUGGUGGGCACAUCCUCACUUGUACGCAUAUUCACUCAUAGGGCGACCUUGUUGCUACAUCAUUGCGUGGAUCCCAGCCACGCCCUACUCAAUCUGUGUCUUCACUGACCUCUCUACCUACAAGGUUUCUGAUGAGGUGGAGGAGAGCUAUUUUUUUCUUGGAUUAUGCAAAUAUGAAUAUGUUGUAAAGCAAUCAUGGUGCCUCUGUAUAUUUAUUUGAAAUUCCAGUUUAAUCGAAUCCAUUUAUUUUAUUAGCAUCCAUGUAGUUCACUGCUAGAGUUUGCACAUUUAAUCUCUAUUAAAUACUACAGUUUCUUGAUUUUGAAUCUUAUAAAGUGGUUCAUAUCAGUACUGAUAUUGACUAGGUGGAAAGUUUCUGUGAUCUAAUGUGGAUCUCUGUUCUGAUUAUCUGUGAAAAGUAUUCUUGCUCCAAUAAGGACCAACAUUGUGAUUUUAGGUGAAAAGAUUUCUUCCGUAUUUUUUUUUCAUUAGUACUGAAACUGAAAUUUUGCUCUUUUUUUAUGUCCUCUAGCAGCGCUGAACAGGAAAACCUCCCGGCCACCAUUAGGGAGCUCUUGGUUGCACCACAAGCUGCAAGGCCUUGUCAAAUCACUCAUGUCGCUUAACGGCUAUGGCCUCUCGCUGGUCAAGAUGGAUCAUUUUGUGCAAGUUGGCCUCGCCCACUUGUAUCCUACUACUACAUUUGGACAAUGACAUUCAGUUCUAGCAAAACUAUUGUAAAGUUGCACGCAUAACUCAAAAUCUUGGACCAUGAACAUCAUCCAAUGACAGAGCCCACGGACAUGCCUUUUCCUUGGUGCGGGCAAGGCACGCAUAACUCCAGGUGCUGCCCAUGGUUGCUCCAGUUACUCGAGCUCAGCGCCACCUGCUUGCAUGAGAUUCUCUCCGCAGUCACGCUGCCUCUUUAUACCUAAACCACGAUGUGACCGCAGUACACCACUGAGGCUUGAUUAGGUCGAGAAGGCUUUGAGUGAGCUCCACAUAGCUAUUGACCGGGUCUUUGGUCACUGUCAGGCCUGAGGAAGUGCAUACUGAAAAAGACGAGGAGCAGAUGGGGUAGACCAAUGUGUUUUCGAUGUCAGAAUCAGAAUGCUAUGAGAGUUGUACAUGUGCUUUCGUGGGCCAUGGGUGUGUGUGCUUGUGGAGCGUGUGGGUUAUUUAAAGGCAUUGAUGAUGAAAUAGAAUUUUGAAUCCCAUCCACCCCAUAUCCGAACUCAACAAAAAAAGAAAGAUAAGGUUGCUAAUCUUCUUUGGGGUUGAUUUGGUGUAAGAUCCUGAUCCGCCUUUGGUUGAUUUGGAGGAAGGCUGAGACAACUCCAUUCAAACCCAGUACACAUAAUAGGCUUCUUGUAGUACACAUAGAAAGCAUCUGCGAGUGGCUGAUGGACAUCAUCAUGGUGCUCUUCUCACCGAAGCUGGCAAUCAUUGAGCAAGUAAACAGGAACUCAGGGCGGGCAGCACUUGAAUCACAACUUAUUGAUACAAUUAUUGAUCAAAUUUGUGCCAAGUCAGUGCCAAUCUUUACAGACAAUGAAAUUAUUCCUCUCUAUUCAUUCAAUU